GAGCCAAAAGGACAAAGUUCAAAAUCAACAGAGGAAAAGUACACAGAUCACAGUGACACACAUCUGCUGACACGAACAGCAGCGUUCUGUCAGAGGGACUGGGCGGCUGAAACUGUCUGUCAUCCAGCAGACUGGGAACUAGCAGCAGUGCUGCUGAGAAUAAGCAGACCCUUUCAUGUGCAGGACUUGAUUUCUAGUUCUCGGACCAAUCCGUUUCAGCGCAGCGGUAACCAUGACGACUGCAGAGCAACCGAAUGGGCUAAGACAACGGCAAACCAAGACCUGUCAGUCAGAGGAUAACUCCAGCCAUGUUGGGAAACAAGACGAUGAGCUGGAUAAAGAAUAUAAGAAGUGGAAAACAUAUUCUCAGAAGGUAAAGGUGAAAGUUCUGGAGCAAAUCCAGGAUCAACUCGGUGAGAUUCUGGACCGAGCUUUGACCGAGUCCUUUCAACCUCCUGCUCACCUGAAGACCUCAGCUACGGGGAAGAAACUGAAUAAACACUCUGGAUCUCAGAGGAUGGACGAUGGGAAAGUGUUUGUGGCACGAGCAUCACUGCUGGAUGAACUGUUUGAGAUCAGCCACAUCCAUACCAUUUACCACAUGUUUGUAGCCGUGCUUCUCAUCUUCUGCUUGAGCACCCUCGCAGUGGACUACAUUGACCAGGGCAGGCUGGUCUUGGAGUUCGACUUGUUGUUCUUUGCCUUUGGGAAGCUGUGGACCGUGACCUGGGUUUGGGCCGUUAUGUUCCUUUAUACGUUGUCAGUUCCCUUCUACACCCUGAUGUUUUGGGGCUCCUUGUACCACAACUCCCGCUCUAAGUUGGGGUUGUCUCUGAGCACAGGGCUGAUCCUAGUCGCUGUACAGACUUGCAUACUGGGAGUGUUCCCAGUCUACAUGGUUGUCUAUCACCAGUUGCCUCCUGCCUCACGUUUUAUCGUGAUUCUGGAACAGAUUCGAUUUCUGAUGAAAGCCUACUCAUUUAUCAGAGAGGUGGUUCCUGUUAUACUGAAGAGCACGCCAAAGAAGGGUGAAACUUCUAGAUUUCCAACAUUUUCCAGUUAUCUGUACUUCCUCUUCUGUCCAACACUCAUCUUCAGGGAAUCUUAUCCUCGAAACAGCCAUAUUCGAUGGAAGUAUGUCUUUGUCACAUUUGGCAAGAUUUUGGGAUGCCUGUUUUAUGGAUACUUCAUCCUGGUGCGUCUUUGCAUACCAGUCUUCAGAUCGGAGACAAACCAGCCCUUCAGUAAAAGGACAAUGGUUCUGGCUGUGUUCAACUCCAUCUUACCAGGAAUCAUGCUGCUGCUGCUCUGCUUUUUUGCCUUCCUGCACUGCUGGCUGAACCUCUUUGGGGAGCUGCUGCGUUUUGCUGACAGAAUGUUCUAUAAGGACUGGUGGAACUCAACAUCCUUUGCCAACUAUUAUCGCACCUGGAAUGUGGUGGUUCACGACUGGCUGUAUUACUACGGAUACAGAGACUUCCUCUGGCUGUCAAAAAAAAGAUUUCGAGCAGCUGCCAUGCUCUCCGUGUUCAUCGUCUCUGCUGUCGUCCACGAGUACGCCUUAGCCAUGGGAUUCGGCUUCUUUUAUCCCGUCAUGUUCUGUCUCUUUGCAGUCUUUGGAGUCUUAUUCAACUUUACCAUGAACGACAAACGUCAAAGUCCAGUAUUUAAUGUCAUCAUGUGGGCGUGUCUCUUCCUGGGUCAGGGAGUCCAGGUGUGUCUGUACUGCCAGGAGUGGUACGCCCAGAUACACUGUCCACGGACCGGGGAUAGUUUCUGGGAGAUUGUGCUGCCUCGAUCCUGGUCCUGCAGCUACCAGACAUGAAGCUGCCCGUCAUCAGCAGGAGGAGUCAACGGACAAAAAAAAAACAGACCGAAAAGUUGCUUCCAGAAGUAAAGAUUUCUGUGGGCUGAAACGAGAUGCUUCGAUCACAUGACGACAGCGGGGAAAAGAAUCAGCAGACUCCUUUAACCCAACAGUCAUCCGGCUGUCUCAGGAAGUCCCCAGGCCUGAAGAACGGUUUUGCCGUGUCGUGGACUGCCCCCUACCACCAACACCAACUAGGCUCUGGGGGUUUAUCCAUCUGAGCUUAUCCACCAGGAUAAAGAUCCUCCCAGAGAAUUACCGCCAAAAGACUAUAGACUAUUUCAUGUACAUUUUUGUAUCACAAAUAAAUCCGUAUCUGCAUUUCUAAAA